UCAGACCCGUGGCAAAUAGCUCAGUAGCACGUGGCCAAUCUACCCUCCGGACCAGCACACCCUCGGGAAACUGAGGCCAAUUCUGUAUACGGCUCCCGACCUGGAAUGGUGGGAGCCCGAAACGCUCCGGCGCCGGAGGAUGAGGCUGCGGCCGAUUAGGUUGACGGUGGGGUAAUGGCCCACCGUGCCGAUAAUCGGUCUGGGUCAUGAGAGUGAGAACCCAGAGACGGAAUCUGAGACAAGAUUCCGGGCCCUACGGGGCGCAGCAGGCGCGAAACCUUUACACUGCACGCACGUGCGAUAAGGGGACUCCGAGUGCGAGGGCAUAUCGUCCUCGCUUUCGUGUACCGUAGGGUGGUACACCAACAAGGGCUGGGCAAGACCGGUGCCAGCCGCCGCGGUAAUACCGGCAGCCCGAGUGAUGGCCGAUCUUAUUGGGCCUAAAGCGUCCGUAGCUGGCUGCGCAAGUCCGUCGGGAAAUCCACUCGCCCAACGAGUGGGCGUCCGACGGAAACUGCACAGCUUGGGACCGGAAGGCUCGAAGGGUACGUUCGGGGUAGGAGUGAAAUCCCAUAAUCCCGCACGGACCACCGAUGGCGAAAGCACUUCGAGAAAACGGAUCCGACAGUGAGGGACGAAAGCCAGGGUCUCCAACCGGAUUAGAUACCCGGGUAGUCCUGGCCGUAAACGAUGCUUGUUAGGUGUGACUCCCACUACGAGUGGGUGUUGUGCCGUAGGGAAGCCG
rnacentral:rRNA from 1 species